CACGCUCGUCAAAUGUGACAAAUUCCAACCCUCCUAACAUGUGCAACCAUAUGCAUAUUGAUGAAAGUAACACAACUUUGUUUGAUUAUGAAUUGAUAAAUGAUAUUCGAUAUAAUAAAUAAUACUUGUCUAACUUGUCCACAAACGAAAACUGUCAAAGUUAUGAAGAAGAAAACUAAGCAAUCUUUAAUUAAUGUAAGAUGUGACCUCAAUAAUGUAAUAUUUAUUUCAUGAUCAAUUCAUGUAAUAUAGUUAAAAAUAUCCUAUGAUUUUUUUUUUUUUUGCAAAAAUAACAUUUUCAAACAAGUUCUGUGAUAAAUUUCUAGCAUUUAAUGAAUUUGCUGGCUCCCUGCAGCUACUAAAGAAGAAAUAUAUAGUAUUCAUAUUCUCAUGGUUCAGCUGGAAAGUUGAAUUAAAAAUUUAGUCAAAUCAAUAAUUCAUUUCAAUAACGUAUUUUAUUGGAUCCACAAUUUUUCAAACACAAAUUCUAUCAACUUUUAUCAAAAUAUACUAAAAAUCUGAUUUUUAUAUAAAUCAAACAGGGGAUAAGAACUUUAGACUUAUCAAUAAGUGAUAAAAUUUACUGGUUUAAAUCUAGUUUUUCAAUCCUUAAAUAGCUAUACGAGACGUUUGGUAUUUCGAAUCAUAACUGUAUAAACGCAGUACUCUGUACCGAACAUAGACUCUUAUGUAAAGUAACAAAGGAACGAUCUUCAAGUCGCUAAAGCCGGCCUUCUUCCUUUCCUUUGUGCAUCUCAUCGCAUGUCACAAAGAUAUAAGCAGCGUAUUCUGAUUCAGGUGCGAAAACUGCAGAAUGGGUUCACCUGUAAGAUUUGAGAAUAGCCCCACAAAAACUGCAGAUUAUAGCCUUCCAAGAUUUCCAAUAAAAUGGGAUAUAACAAAAUCUUGUCAUGGUUUUCAUAUCCGCCACCCUCGCGCCGUGGCUGCAACGCGAACACAUUCCGGCCACCGGCUUGCUCUUCUUGAUUACCCUCUUCUGAUCCACCAAAAAGCAGAAACAAACCAUCAAAAAAAAUUUUUUUACUCAACUUUUCUUCUUAUUCAAGAGAAUAAUAUGACUGUCUUCUCUCUAUCUCUCUCUACAUAUAUACACACAGAUAAGAGGUUAGAGAUAUGUUGGGUGCGUAGGGGGAUAGAGGGUGGUGAUAUGGGCCGCAAAUCUAGUGGUUGGCGGGACUUUGUGAAGGAAAAAC
rnacentral:lncRNA from 1 species